GAUGAACGCUGGCGGCGUGCCUAAUACAUGCAAGUCGAGCGAACAGACGAGGAGCUUGCUCCUCUGACGUUAGCGGCGGACGGGUGAGUAACACGUGGAUAACCUACCUAUAAGACUGGGAUAACUUCGGGAAACCGGAGCUAAUACCGGAUAAUAUAUUGAACCUCAUGGUUCAAUAGUGAAAGACGGUUUUGCUGUCACUUAUAGAUGGAUCCGCGCCGCAUUAGCUAGUUGGUAAGGUAACGGCUUACCAAGGCAACGAUGCGUAGCCGACCUGAGAGGGUGAUCGGCCACACUGGAACUGAGACACGGUCCAGACUCCUACGGGAGGCAGCAGUAGGGAAUCGUCCGCAAUGGGCGAAAGCUUGACGGAGCAACGCCGCGUGAGUGAUGAAGGUCUUCGGAUCGUAAAACUCUGUUAUUAGGGAAGAACAAAUGUGUAAGUAACUAUGCACGUCUUGACGGUACCUAAUCAGAAAGCCACGGCUAACUACG
rnacentral:rRNA from 1 species